rnacentral:rRNA from 1 species
CUGAAAACCUAGCUUACUUUAUUCUUAUGAACAUACUACCUUAUUGUAUACUAAAUAAAACAUUUUGUACAUUAAGUAAAGGCGAUUAAAAAAUGUCUUAAAGCUAUAGAAACCAGUACCGCAAGGGAAAAGUGAAAUAUAAAUGAAAAACCUCAAGCACAAAAAAGUAGAGCUAUAACCUCGUACCUUUUGCAUCAUGGUCUAACUAGUUCAACCAAGCAAAAUGAAUUUUAAGUUUGACUUCUCGAAACUAGGUGAGCUACUUAAAAACAGCCUUACGGGCCAACCCGUCUCUGUUGCAAAAGAGUGGGAAGAUUUUUUAAGUAGAGGUGACAGACCUACCGAACCUAGAGAUAGCUGGUUAUUCAGGAAAAGGAUUUAAGUCCUACCUUAAGUUUACUGUACA